GAUGAACGCUGGCGGCGUGCUUAACACAUGCAAGUCGAGCGAAGCACUUAAGUUUGAUUCUUCGGAUGAAGACUUUUGUGACUGAGCGGCGGACGGGUGAGUAACGCGUGGGUAACCUGCCUCAUACAGGGGGAUAACAGUUAGAAAUGGCUGCUAAUACCGCAUAAGACCACAGUACUGCAUGGUACAGUGGUAAAAACUCCGGUGGUAUGAGAUGGACCCGCGUCUGAUUAGGUAGUUGGUGAGGUAACGGCCCACCAAGCCGACGAUCAGUAGCCGACCUGAGAGGGUGACCGGCCACAUUGGGACUGAGACACGGCCCAGACUCCUACGGGAGGCAGCAGUGGGGAAUAUUGCACAAUGGGCGAAAGCCUGAUGCAGCGACGCCGCGUGAAGGAUGAAGUAUUUCGGUAUGUAAACUUCUAUCAGCAGGGAAGAAAAUGACGGUACCUGACUAAGAAGCC
rnacentral:rRNA from 1 species